CACACGGUAUGACAUCAUAGGAGAUGGAGAAUAUGCACCCAACUUUCAUGAUCAAACUGAAACUUUUUUUUCUAACAAAUGUGCUCUGGCAUCAUCAUGGAUUCUACCGUGUUUACCAAAUUCUGUAAGCUAGGAAAAUCUGUACAAGUUUAUUGUAUUUUACCUCAUUGUUUUUAAAUGUUUUGAAUUGAUCACUUGCAGUGACAAGACUGAGAGAUAAGAUUAAAUAUAAAUGAAAGAAUAAUGAUGUUAAUUAAAUUACCAUGUCACAUGAUGUCUGUAGAAAAAAGUAGAAUUUUAAAAGUUGGUUUCUUGAAAAGCAACUGAAAUGUGAUAUGAAUCAAAAAAUGGGGAAAAACAUUUGAGAGAUUUUUCUUUUUUGAGUGAAGUCUUCUCACAUUCAAUUUCCACUUUUCUGAACUUCCA
rnacentral:lncRNA from 1 species